GGCCGGGCGGUUACCCGGGAAUCCCGUACCUGAGCGAGAACCCUGGCGCGUGGCUGGGGCUUCCCCGGUGCCCUGAGAGGCAGGAGAUGAAUGGUGUUAUUGAGGAGGCCAGGCACGCAGGCAAAGGAAAGCUGCUUCUGGCCCCUCUGAGCUGAAAGAAGUGUGGCAAGAAUCUUCAAAUGGAGGCCACUUUUGCCCCAAGCACAAAAUAGACAGAAGUACAGAAACUUCCUGUUUGCAGCUCCUGAGACCAUGUUCCGGUGAUGGAACCUCAAAGGAAUUUGUGCAUUCCUCUCCCACAAGUGUCCAGGGGCAGGGGUGCUGGGAGAAUGAGUUCACAGAAGAAGCUAGAACAGCAGAGCCAUAAGAGAUAAGACAAUGUGCAAGAGAAAGAAAAAAGAGAGUGAGCCAACAUACGAGUUUUCCUCCAAAUAGGAAAGCUUUGGUAAAAAGGCUACUCGAAACUAAAUAAGUCACAUCUGUAACUUCAAAGACACCCAUUUGGCAAACUUACACAAACGGGUUAUAUGCUAGUAUAUGCUAGGCACAUAAACUCCUUCCAAAAGUGUGUCCAGAGCCAAGUCUGCUCACUUCCUGCCAAGAGGUCUAAGUCUGGAAGAGACCCCAUCACUGACAUUCACCUGGAUGGGAAGAAGGAAGGAUAUUCCAGUUUGAACAAAGUCGUGUCAGAAGAGAGAUAGUGAUCUGUCUGUGGAUCAAUGCCCCAACACUUUGAUUUGACUGAAUGAAAGGGUUCAGAUGGACGGGGUCUGAAUCAGAAAACUCCCAACACUACAUUAAGGAAAGGGCUCUAGAGCAGCAGCCUGCCAGUUUGGGCAUUGUUUGGGGAGGCAGCCUUGGCUUCUGAGGGAAAUUCAAUACCCUAGAAGUAGCCUGAAGUUUAUUUGGUGAGUUUGGAUUCAUGGAGUCCGAUCGUCAGAAUACUUGGGAACUACCAAAUUCUUAAGCAGUUGGUGAUGUACUUAUUACUGCUCAGUGUGUAGUUGGGCAGAAAGAAAAUAAAGACUGAGAAAUGGUUUAUUACAGGAGAAUGAAAAUGGGAUUGGAACAAUAUUGACCACCAAUUAAAAAGUAACUGGUUCAGAAGCAGCCUUUCUGUGGAGAGUGGAAACAACUGUAUACAAAGUCGAGAAGUGCCCUGUGCUAGGUCCACAGGAUCUAGAGAAGUAUUCAUUUAUGUGAGGACAACCUUUAUGUAAUAAAAGUUUCUUUAAAGUUAAAAAAAAAACAAAACUAACUAUUGGGGCUAUUAAUGCAGCUUGGAGUUGGUGAUGGACUUGAACCAAGAGAAGUUAUAUUAGGCCGAGCCUGGAGGGACCAGCAGGACUGGAGAAGUAUACACAAUAAAGACAACGUUCCUGGCAAAAUGUCUGCAAGCUGUUCUGGGAGAUCUAGCUCAAUAAUAGAGUAUUUGCCCACGUGCUCAAGGGCCUGGAUUUGAUCCCUAGUACAGGGCAAAGGGAAAGCAAAAAUUAGAAAUUAAGAGGCAUGGAACAAGUAGUACUUCCCAUGUUGUUAAGCUGUGAAGACCAUUGAGAGGAUCUGUAAGUUUUGAGAGAGGCCCCUGCCACCGUAAUACUAAGUCCUCAGCUGCCCCCACCCCCAUUGCGUUUACUAACAUGGCUGGUCAGGUGCUUUUUCUAGCUGUCCUUCAAAUACCAUGCUGUUACCCCCCUGACCCAGGAGCGACUCUUACAUUAUGAACUGUUUGGAUGAGAAGUCCUUCCUCACAAGGCACCCUGCUUUGUACCUUUUCUCAUUGUUUUUGCAACGUCCAUGUCUGACGUUCAGAUCAUCAUGAUAACCAAGCACUCUAGGUGAUAUAGAAGUCUAAAUUCAUGUACAUUAUCCCCUGAAAUACACAGGAGUUUCCCUACAAGGUGCCACAAAAGAGUACCAAGAAACAGACAUCAGCUACAUGAUGACUGCUGUUUCCUCCCUCUCAACUUCCCUCUGUCUCUGUGUGUCUGUCUGUCUGUCUGCAUCUCUCUGUCUGUCUCUCUCUCCCUCCAACCCUUGGUCCCUCCCUCCCUCCCAUACACACACACUCCCUUCAUUAGUAUGGGGUCCUGCCAGCCUUUCACAAUCCUAAAAGGAUCAGAGGUAAGAGCAAAGACUCCUAAUCCAAGUGCACUGGCUAUUACCAUGACUGAAACCCCCCUUUCUCCUCUUCCAUCAACACUGACUCAUCAGAGUAUUUUUAAUUGUGAGAACAAGUAAGGCACACACCAUACCUUCUUAGUUUGGGAUUUGCUUUUCCAGAGGCCUUCCCUUGAUCUCAGUGUUUUCUAAUUACACACCCAUGUCUUUUAUUUCUUUGUUUAUUUUUUAGUUGCUUCAGAAGUUUCUGAGUUGUGUUAUCAUGUAACCUAGGAUGAGACUUAACAAAACUAAACUCAUAGCAACACACACACACACACCAGAUAUAAAAUACAAACUUGCUAAUCUACUCUGGAUUUAGGGUGGGUUUAUUGUAAUUUCUUUUCACCCUGUAUCUUCCCUCUAUGUACUUUUCUUCACCUCUUUCCUUUUUCCUUUUUUCUUUUUCUUUUGGCUCUCGCUGGUACUUUGCAAUCACUUGUACCCUUCAGGCCCUAAACUUUUCUCUUUCUAUCCCUAUUCAGUGAACGGGAUUUGUUUCUUGGGGAGUCGGGUCAACCCAGCCGUACUUUACCAGGCUCUACCUGCCAAGAGUCUGAACCCCUGCAGUCCAGUGGACUGCUUCUCAUCUGGGGUUCUCUGCAGGACGUACGUGUGGAACCCACUGCAGGGCUGAGAUCGAAGGGUGGGAAUGCCCGUAGGCCUGGGCUUGGCUUCACAGGCUUUAGAAAGGUGAUCAGUUCUUGCUUUGUUUCUUUGAGACAAAUGAGGACUGUUUAGUCCUGAAACCUUUUAAGGAAUUAAGAUCCUCCACCGUGAACACCUCAAGGCGUGAGAGAGUCGUGAAAGAGGAACAACUGUAAGGAAAUGUGUUUUACUUAUUAGAGAAAAAAAAUGAACUGUGCUAGUAGGAGGAAAGGUGGGAGACAGAGCAGAAGGAGGCGAAAGGGGAAGAAACUCAGGAAAGGGGAGAAAUAGAUGAGAAAAGUAAAGGAUUGAGAAGGGGAGGGAACUCUUCCAGGACGUGGUACAAACUCAGCAAACAGUGCAUCGUGGUAGAAAAAACACAAAAACCCUAAACUGAGAUACUGCUCAUUAAAAAAAAAAAUUCAUGAUUAAAUUCUGGCAAGUUGA